UGCCUUUGGAACUUUUGCCAUCUGAAGUGCGGUCCAAAUAUCAAGCUAAACCAGCUGACAAGUCUAAGCGUGCCAAGAAGGAAGAGAUGAAAACCUCUGUGCAGCAAGCUGAAGAAAAUCAGGUAUCUAUAAGUACAAUUGACUUCCAAUUUUCUAUUUUAAUUUGGAAUUAUAUUAGUGUAGGAAUGCGAAUUUCGUAAUAGAUGGAGACCUGCUACUUUUGUGGAAUCAAGUGUAAAUUCACUUGGUCUAUAUCAUGUAAAUGAAAAGGUGCCAGGGUCAGAGGCCAGGGAUCAUGGAAAAGAGUCAAGUCUCCACCUUUUAGUUAAUACUAAGCCACUGUUUGGAUUUGCUAAAAAUCAGAUUUUUACUAGAUUUUUAUUAAGGCCGAUGAAGUGUAUAGUUGAAAAUUUGAUAAAAGUGGGUCCCAUGAAAUUUGUAGUCAAAAUUAAUUGUUGAUUUUAACUUAGAUUUUUAUUAACUUUUUUAAACGGCUAAACCAAACAUGGGCUAAAUAUAAUAGUUAAAUAUUCACAGAUUCUAGUUAAUUAUAAAAGUAUUCCUGGAUAUAGGAUGUAAUUUUUUCUCUGUUCUUUUAGGACGAUUUGGUAUUGGUUUUUCUUGACUGAUAAUUAGUGAAAUCGGUUUAAUAUCUGCUAGACUACUACACAUUAUGUUUGGGCUUUUGCCACAUAUAUGGAGUUAAAUUUAUGAACUCUUAUUCUUUAGAAUAAAGAAAAGACGAACGUUGUGAUUCAACUAGUCACUGCAGAUUAUAUGCCAAGCUUAUUAUUUUGAAAAAAUAUUUCAUGUAAGUUAGGUUUUUAAGAUUUAGAAUGGGAAAAUAGCAGUAGUGAUUUUUAUAUAUAAUACUAUGUUCUCUUAAAUUUACUGUUAAUUAAAAAGUUAAUAGAAUUUUUUCUUCAAAGAAAGAUUACUUGAAAAAGACAAUACUUCGCAUAUGGGGGAGGCAAGACUGUAAAUGAUGGAAGGCUCUAAUUUUGUAUUAAAGGGUAUGGAGCUCAUUUGAUCUUUAGAUUAUGGUGCGAAAAUGAACUUAUCUGUUGUAUCUUAGACGAGCCACAUCAUUCUCAAUACUUUGUGUACUAUCUUCGACAAGUCUCACUAUUGUUGGGGUUAAUUGUUGCCCAGAAUUGGGUUUAUAUUGUGGUUGAGUUUAAUGAAAGUGGUGAAGCCUUUCCACACUACGUUAUUUUAUCAUGGUAUUGUCAGUUUGUGAUCUCAACCUUCCCCUUCCAAUUUGUCCAAAUUCCUUUUACCGUCCAAACCUUUUCAUAGUUUAGAACAUCUGAAUUUUCAGAUUGUUUUCAGUCACAUCACUACAAGAAUUUUCAGUUCGUUCCUCAAUUAAGCCAAUUCAGCCUUUUAAGCUUAAUUUAGGAGAAAAUUGUUGUGCUUUUCCUUGUUUUGGGGUUAUCAAUGUUCCUUGUGUUCUAUUUGAUGCUUCCAGUUUUUCCUAACUAUUCUUUGAUUCUGUUUUUUGGUCCAGGUUGCAACACCUGCAAGUGAGAUGGAUGUUGAAGGAAGCAGAACUGAUCUUGAAGCCUCGAUAGCCCCAAUAGAUGCAGAUGCCACAAUGGCUUCUGGCAGUAUUUCUCAGAGCGGAACUCCAACCCCUGAUGAACAUCAGAAACAGAGUCCUGACACAGACAUCGGGCAGGAAUCAGGCCAAAUUGAAGCUGAAGCUGAAAUAGAGGCAGAAGCCAUGCCCGGAGUAAUAGAAGGUGAGACAGAUGCAGAGGUUGAUCUAGAUGCAGUAGUCUGAUAAAGUACAAGUAUGUUUCAUUUUACUCGAAUGGUGGGAGAAAACUACUUGUGCUCGAAUUAUUUUGAAGUUCAGGGUCUGUCUAAAGGCUAAAAGUGGACAUUAAUAUGUUGCAAAAACAUCAAUUUCUUAGAUGAUCCCUGGCUCGAUCAAGGUAGUGUUGGACUAGCUGAGUUGGAUAUGAAAGUGGUCGGCAUGCCUUGUUUGCACGAAUAUACUUGCAUUAAUGAUUAUGGAAUUUAGUUUCUAAUAUGGAUGAUAUCUUUUGAUAUUGGAUAAUUCUUUUUUCCCGAAUACAAAAGAUUUAGGCCUCGUUUGGUAGUCAUUUUAUUUUUCAAAAUGCAUUUUUCUUUCUUCUUUUCAACCACACAUUCUUCAUUAAAAUAAUAUUACACAAAUAAAAAACUUUUCCUUAUUUUUUAACCACACAUUUUCCAUCAAUUUAUUAUUUCAAAAUGCAUUUUUACAUAAAAAUAGCUCUCAAACACUCUUUUAGUGAUUCAUGCAAGCAUAAAAAGUAUUCUUUCUUCACCUUGCAUAAUUUGACAUGUUUUGGUAUGGACAAAUAUUUGAUAUAUAACAUAACGUGAUGCAUAUUGUAAUAGGUAAAAUUUUGGCAUAACGUGAUGCAUAUUGUAAUGGAUAACAUUUUAGCAAUACGACUCUUAAUACGUUUAUGAAUUGUUAUGUUUUAUUAUGCAUACAAUUUUGUUUUUAUAUGUAUCAAUUGCAAUAAUGACUUCUCUAGAUGGGGAACGCAUUAGAAAUUUAACCUAAACUCGUAGGUUUUUGACCGAUCUUACGUUCAUCCCAAGUCGAAGGUCUUUAACUAGAAUGCUCGUUGCAUAGAUACAUAAAUGGAGGCAUUGUGUCUUUAACGACGGUCUUGAAUCAUAGUAGUCAUAAUAGAUGCUUAAAUGGAGCCGGAGGCACAUAUGUGUGUACCAAAAGGAGAAUCUUGAACAAAGAGAGUGCUCCAUGCCAUUUGACUCGAGAAUUAUAGCCCAAGUUGGAAAUGAAUUUAUGAAUUUGGUUGGACAAGUAAAAUUUGUUAUAUAACCAUGAUUGAAGGAUUCAAUUAUAUGUUGUUCAAAAACAUAUGUGAUUACAUAUGGAGCCCUCCAAGAAUCAUUAUUGAUCAAAGUAGGCCACUAUGUUGUUCCUACUUAAUUGUGAAACAACUUAAACAUGACCGAAAUAUUUGCUUAUAAAAAAUGGCAAAGUUUGAUAAGUUAUUGCACUUUGUUUUACUUAACUGAAUAGUUUGCUUGGUGAAUCAAUAGUUAAUGUAUUCUGAUCUGGGGAAUUCAAUAUUUUCUCUUUUAUAUUAUUUAUUGAUACAUUUUUCUAAAUCUCAUCGUUUGUUGUGUUCCCUCUUUAUGAUUGGAAUAUUUGGAUUUGUCUUUUCAGAAUUCUUUAACAGAUCCUCAACGUGUCCGCACUCCUUCCAUCAUGGAGUACUGGAAACCAUUGGCCGAAGAUGUGAGUUGAUACAGCUUCUUGUCAGAUUAGAACUAAUGCCUAGUUUAUUUAUUUUAUAUUUUGGUAUUUCAUUUUAUGUUUUUGUUGUGCAAAAAGUAGUAUGCAAACAAAUUAUAACUUUCACUGAAGAUUUCAGUUAUCUGAAGAAGAUUCUGUGUUUCUUAAACAGAUGGAUGAAUCUGCGGGAAUAGAAGCAGAAUAUCACCAUAAAAAUAGUCGAGUCAGUUACCUUUCCCUUUUCUUUCCACUCGAUUCUUCCUGGCUUUGAUCUUCAAUGAUGUGACUAUUCUCUGCUUCCCCGUUAUCUCUUCUAGUUUCAACUUCUUAAACAAAGGUUUACAUUUAGUUCACAUGCUAGCUUGUCACUGAUUGUUAUCUUGUUUUGUUUUGGUGACUGCUUUGGGAUUACUAGCAUCUUCAAACAUAAGCAUGCCAAAUAAUAGCUGUAGUGGAUAUUAAUUGACUAUAUACCUAGCAUACAAGAUGAUGUAAUUUGGACCAUCAUUGGAGACCAAAUAUAAGUAUGAGGGCAGCCUCUGAACUGAUGUUGUACUAAUUAGUAUAAACAAGAUAUUUAGACAAUAACUGAUUAAAGAAAAUAAAUUAUCUCUGUUCAGUACCCAGAGUUUUUAGGAACAUGUUUCAUUGCAAAAAAUAAUAACCUAUGUAGAAUUUCCCAGACUUUAUAGAACACUAUUUCUUUGCUAACAAAUUAUCAUAUAGUAUUCUCUUGUAAACUUUACUGGAACAUGAUCUUUUUAUGACAAAUUAAACUAUGUACAAUGUCUCAUAGACUUUUGAUUCAUGAUAGGUGACAGUCUUUGAGUGCCUUCUCAUACUUUUUACAAACUACAGCCCUCAGGCUUCAGCACUUGGCAGAUAACCACAACUUGCCAAAUAGCUUGUCACAUAUUAUAAAUUUUUUGGGAAAAUAUUUGAAAAUUUAGAGGUAGAGCUUACAAUUCCAUAUAUCUGUUAUGUAUUGGUAAAGCAGUGAAAUGCAUUUGCACUUGGUCUUAUAAUCCAAAUUUGUUAGAGAUAUCUGGUUGGGCUUCUUUUUGGUUUUGUUUUUGAAUAUUCUAGUCUUCCAAGAAUUGUCGAAUGCUUUUGUCCUAGGGAAUUUGAAGGGGUGAGGAUAUGCUUUAUUUGCUGUCACUUGGUCAAUUUGGAUUGAGAUUUGAGUAUAAUGGUAGAAUAUUUCACAAGUACCUCGAGGGAUGAACUGGUUUCCUGUCAUCCUUCUUUGUCAAAGUUACUGGUUCUUUUUUGUGAGAGGGUGGGAACAUUUUAUAGUAACUUCUAGUUCUCUUACUUAUUUAUGUGCUUGAGGAAUCCUCUACUCUUACUUCCUUUCUUCUUAAGAAUAUACUCUGUGUGUAGCAUAGGAUGUAAUAUGCAUUGAUUUCCCAGUCAGUCUUUUUAUUUUCAAUUUUAGCAUGUUGUGUUACCCACAGGAAAACACCCAUAUUAAUAUUGUCUUAUUCUCCCUGAUAUUUAUUUAAUGUUGAUGCUAUGUUUUAAAGUGUCUAUUCUGUGUUGUUGAAGUCUCAAUGUUCUGUAAAACUUCAUCUCCUAUUCUACCCAGGAAACAUCUAUAUUUAUUUACUUAGGAAUGUAGCUGUCAUUUGCUUUUAUACUACUAUGCGCUUCUCAAAGAUUGCCUAUAGCUUUCUUCUAGAAGAAUUUCUUAAUGCAUCGAUUGGUUUCAUUUUCUGCCCUGUUAUCGUUUAGGGAAAUUUUUACACCCAAUCCAUACAGCUGGGGAUGGAAGAUUGAUUUUGUUUCUUAAUUUUCUUCAAGAGGCUUUAUGUGCUAGGAUUGGGAACCUCCUUUCUAUCGCAAACUGUUAAAAACAUUGUCAAUCACUCAACUUGUAAAUGUUGUACUUUUGAUCAUGGAACUUUUUUCCCCCCAUAUUAGUCACUAAGCUUUAUUUCUUGUUUCAGUUUAUAUAGUCUAUCUUCAUUUACUAGAUUAGCAUAAAUACCGAUAUGGUGAACCCUGGGGGGUAGCUCGGUGGUCAGGCCUUGGGUUUGCUCUCCAAUGUUCACCAGUUCGAAUCCUCUCAGGGUCACUGAGGUGAGUACUCGACUAUAAACUUCUGGGGCCUGUGGGAUUAGUCGAGGUGCUAGUAAACUGUCCCGGACAUCCACGGUCAUAAAAAAAAAAUACCGAUAUGGUGGUUGGAAUGGGGGGCUGUCGGGGUUUUGGGGAAGAAGAUUAAUAUUCUUCUUUAUAUUUCUCUUCUUUCAUUUAUUCUGUACUAUGAAAAAAUGCAUUUCAAAAGCACUAGUAUUCCAACAAGACUCGUUCUUGUCUAGCUGGAUGGCAAGAAUAAUGCAAUAGUAGAUUUUUCAUUCCAAGUCAUAUUUCUGAUAGCCAUGUUAUUAGUUUAUUAGAUAAGCAUUUGUUGAAACACCGAAACUGAAGCAUUAAUAAUUAAAAAUAAGAAAGAAAGGAAAACAGUUCAGUGACCAAAGUGAAACAAUUCCAUAAAUUGGAUAACAUUUUUUUAACCAAUUGUAAUAUUAUAAACUACUACGUUUUCUAUAUUUAAUAUAAUCCCUUGGUGGCAAGAAAGGAGUUAUUGAGGUUCCUUUCUAUUCCUAGAGAGGAAGGUUGACAUUAUUGAAUUAUAAACUACUGUGUACUUCACUGGUGAAUUUUUAUUUUUUAUUUAUUUUGGCUAUUUUGAGAAGAUGUUAUAUACACCAAUGACCAAUGGGAUGCUUAUUAUUUUCCAUUUUCCAUUUUGUCAUUUUUAUCUAAUUGUUUUUAUGGUGCAGGUCUAUUGUUGGAAAGGUUUACGCUUUUCAGCUCGGCAAGACUUGGAGGGAUUUUCCAGAGUAUGAAUUCAUUAUAUCUGUGACAUAGAUAUAUAAAACUGCAUAAAACGAUAUUUUGGAACUGUCUACAACUCUCUGAAUGAUUUUAUCUGCAGUUCACUGAACAUGGUAUUGAGGGCGUUGUGCCUUUGGAACUUUUGCCAUCUGAAGUGCGGUCCAAAUAUCAAGCUAAACCAGCUGACAAGUCUAAGCGUGCCAAGAAGGAAGAGAUGAAAACCUCUGUGCAGCAAGCUGAAGAAAAUCAGGUAUCUAUAAGUACAAUUGACUUCCAAUUUUCUAUUUUAAUUUGGAAUUAUAUUAGUGUAGGAAUGCGAAUUUCGUAAUAGAUGGAGACCUGCUACUUUUGUGG
rnacentral:lncRNA from 1 species